rnacentral:misc_RNA from 1 species
GGCGUAAUGAAAGUGCACGUGGCGGCGCUGAUGGACUGGGGAACUUUGGCCGUUGUUCUUGAACCGCACAAAUAUGGAAUGGAAUCCGCACGACUCUGCAACUCCACGCACAAUAUCUUCUUUUACAGCUUAAACCUUGCGUUUACACAAAUGUGGUAGAUUCUUCUGAUCAUCCAAAACCUAUUUUCUGGUGUUUCUAGUCCUAGGAAACCCUCUGACUUCAACCAACAUGACAGAUAAUCAAGAACCAAUUUUGAAUAAGGAUGAACAUACUGCUGCUCAAUCACAAUUCCUUAAACUCAAGCACUGGCAAUGGUGGCUUUUGGUGGCAAUCAACAUCUUCUUCCUCAUUGCAGGCCAGUCUGCUGCUGUUCUUCUUGGGAGAUUUUAUUAUGACAAAGGUGGAAAUAGUAAAUGGAUGGCAACCCUUGUUCAAACUGUUGCUUUCCCAAUCCUUUGCAUCCCUCUCUUUCUACUACCUUCCUCUCAAGAGUCUUCAACCUCUUCCGCCUCACCCUCCAUUAGAAUUCUUGCCUUGAUCUAUUUGUUUCUUGGAUUACUUAUAGCUGGUGAUAACAUGUUAUAUUCUACUGGGCUCUUGUACUUGUCUGCCUCUACUUAUUCUCUCGUUUGUGCAUCC